UUAAUAUUCCUGUACUUGGUGUUACUGCGAAGGGGGGACGGAGAAGGCUAUGUUGGCCGGGCGACGGUUGUCCCGGUUUAAGCGUGUAGGCUGGUUUUCCAGGCAAAUCCGGAAAAUCAAGGCUGAGGCGUGAUGACGAGGCACUACGGUGCUGAAGCAACAAAUGCCCUGCUUCCAGGAAAAGCCUCUAAGCAUCAGGUAACAUCAAAUCGUACCCCAAACCGACACAGGUGGUCAGGUAGAGAAUACCAAGGCGCUUGAGAGAACUCGGGUGAAGGAACUAGGCAAAAUGGUGCCGUAACUUCGGGAGAAGGCACGCUGAUAUGUAGGUGAAGCGACUUGCUCGUGGAGCUGAAAUCAGUCGAAGAUACCAGCUGGCUGCAACUGUUUAUUAAAAACACAGCACUGUGCAAACACGAAAGUGGACGUAUACGGUGUGACGCCUGCCCGGUGCCGGAAGGUUAAUUGAUGGGGUCAGCGCAAGCGAAGCUCUUGAUCGAAGCCCCGGUAAACGGCGGCCGUAACUAUAACGGUCCUAAGGUAGCGAAAUUCCUUGUCGGGUAAGUUCCGACCUGCACGAAUGGCGUAAUGAUGGCCAGGCUGUCUCCACCCGAGACUCAGUGAAAUUGAACUCGCUGUGAAGAUGCAGUGUACCCGCGGCAAGACGGAAAGACCCCGUGAACCUUUACUAUAGCUUGACACUGAACAUUGAGCCUUGAUGUGUAGGAUAGGUGGGAGGCUUUGAAGUGUGGACGCCAGUCUGCAUGGAGCCGACCUUGAAAUACCACCCUUUAAUGUUUGAUGUUCUAACGUGGACCCGUGAUCCGGGUUGCGGACAGUGUCUGGUGGGUAGUUUGACUGGGGCGGUCUCCUCCUAAAGAGUAACGGAGGAGCACGAAGGUUGGCUAAUCCUGGUCGGACAUCAGGAGGUUAGUGCAAUGGCAUAAGCCAGCUUGACUGCGAGCGUGACGGCGCGAGCAGGUGCGAAAGCAGGUCAUAGUGAUCCGGUGGUUCUGAAUGGAAGGGCCAUCGCUCAACGGAUAAAAGGUACUCCGGGGAUAACAGGCUGAUACCGCCCAAGAGUUCAUAUCGACGGCGGUGUUUGGCACCUCGAUGUCGGCUCAUCACAUCCUGGGGCUGAAGUAGGUCCCAAGGGUAUGGCUGUUCGCCAUUUAAAGUGGUACGCGAGCUGGGUUUAGAACGUCGUGAGACAGUUCGGUCCCUAUCUGCCGUGGGCGCUGGAGAACUGAGGGGG
rnacentral:rRNA from 1 species